UCCAGUCCUCCCUCCCCUCCCCACUGAAGAGAAGACACAGCAGUCUUCAGCAUCACUCACCCCUCCCCUGCUAUCAGCGGUGGGUUCACGUACGGGACAGCAAUGCACAGACAGGAAGUCAUGUGAUGUACACCUGACUGGAGGAGCCAGCAGCCACAUGAUGAGGAGCAGCCCUGUUAGUGCACUAUCAGCCAGCCACACAGAGGGACAAAGACUCUGCAGAGGCUCAGGGCUUAAAGUGAUCCUGGUGAGGUGGUGGAACUCAUGAAGGAGGACCAUGGAGGCACCAAGACCUGAGAAAAAUCAUCUCUGGAACAGCCUACUGUUGUGACCGUGUCCAAAAGCAGAGUUGAAAAACAGCAACCGCUAGCAUUAACGUAGACUAAAGCUUGAAGAAGGUCGUGGAAGGAAUCGCAUUGGAUGCCUUUGAUUGAAAAAUCAUCUCUGGAACAGCCUACUGUUGCGACAGUGUCCAAGAAAAGAGUUGAAAAACAGCAACCGCUAGCAUUAAAGCAGACAAAAAGCCAGAAGAAGGUCGUUGAAGGAAUUGCAUUGGAUGACUUUGAUUGGAAAGACAUUUGAAGAAAUAAAAAUGUUGUUUCUCUUUAUUUUCCUCUUUUUGUGAGAUUUUGGUUAGGCCAUUUCCGUAGUUGAGGUAAUAAAG